rfam:Brassica napus, WGS project CCCW01000000 data, contig: 3437
GCUCUUAUCGGGGAGUCGGGGACGUCUGAUAAAAUUGGAAUGAUAUAGAGAAAAUUAGCAUGGCCCCUGCACAAGAAUAACAUGCACAAAUCGAGAAAUUGUCUAAAUUUUA